UGGGGAAUAUUGGACAAUGGGGGAAACCCUGAUCCAGCGACGCCGCGUGAGUGAAGAAGUAUUUCGGUAUGUAAAGCUCUAUCAGCAGGGAAGAAAAUGACGGUACCUGACUAAGAAGCCCCGGCUAACUACGUGCCAGCAGCCGCGGUAAUACGUAGGGGGCAAGCGUUAUCCGGAUUUACUGGGUGUAAAGGGAGCGCAGACGGCGAAGCAAGUCUGAAGUGAAAUGCAUGGGCUCAACCCAUGAAUUGCUUUGGAAACUGUUUGGCUUGAGUGUCGGAGGGGUAAGCGGAAUUCCUAGUGUAGCGGUGAAAUGCGUAGAUAUUAGGAGGAACACCGGAGGCGAAGGCGGCUUACUGGACGACAACUGACGUUGAGGCCCGAAGGCGUGGGGAGCAAACAGGAUUAGAUACCCUGGUAGUCCACGCAGUAAACGAUGAAUACUUGGUGUCGGGGAGGUAAACUCUUCGGUGCCGCAAGCAAACGCAUUAAGUAUUCCACCUGGGGAGUACGUUCGCAAGAAUG
rnacentral:rRNA from 1 species